rfam:Oceanicola litoreus strain DSM 29440 genome assembly, contig: Ga0131108_11
GGAUCGGGCGCUCACCGGUGGGACGGUGGGCAGGUAUGGAUCCCGGACGCACCUUCAUUCGUGAGCCGCCCUCCCGGUGCCCCGGCGGGAUGUGCG